rnacentral:miRNA from 1 species
UCGGGGAUCAUCGUGUCACGAGA